UACGGAGGGGGGCAAGCGUUGUUCGGAAUUACUGGGCGUAAAGGGCGCGCAGGCGGCUGCUCAAGUCAGGCGUGAAAGGCCUGGGCUCAACCCGGGAAUUGCGCUUGAGACUGGGCUGGCCUUGAGUGCGGGAGAGGAUGGUGGAAUUCCCAGUGUAGAGGUGAAAAUUCGUAGAUAUUGGGAAGAACACCGGUGGCGAAGGCAGCCCCCC
rnacentral:rRNA from 1 species